UUCCAUCAAACUUUUCAGUGGUUCUCUACCUGUGGGUCGCGACUCCUUUGGGGUCGAACGACCCUUUCUCAGGGUUCGCCCAAGACCAUCGGAAAACAGAUAUUUACAUUACGAUUCAUAACAGUAGCAAAAUUACACUUAUGAAGUAGCAACAAAAAUAAUUUUAUGGUUGGGGGU